rnacentral:rRNA from 1 species
CCUACAGGCGGCAGCAGUAGGGAAUCUUCCACAAUGGGCGAAAGCCUGAUGGAGCAACGCCGCGUGGGUGAAGAAGGUCUUCGGAUCGUAAAACCCUGUUGUUAGAGAAGAAAGUGCGUGAGAGUAACUGUUCACGUUUCGACGGUAUCUAACCAGAAAGCCACGGCUAACUACGUGCCAGCAGCCGCGGUAAUACGUAGGUGGCAAGCGUUAUCCGGCUUUAUUGGGCGUAAAGGGAACGCAGGCGGUCUUUGAAGUCUGAUGUUAAAGCCUUCGGCCUAACCGGAGUAGUGGUUUGGAAAGUGGGAGACUUGAGUGAAGAAGAGGGGAGUGGAACUCAAUUUGGAGCGGUGA